UACGGGGGGAGCAAGCGUUGUUCGGAUUUACUGGGCGUAAAGGGCGCGUAGGCGGCGUGACAAGUCACUUGUGAAAUCUCCGGGCUUAACUCGGAACGGUCAAGUGAUACUGUCGGACUAGAGUACAGAAGGGGCAACUGGAAUUCUCGGUGUAGCGGUGAAAUGCGUAGAUAUCGAGAGGAACACCUGCGGCGAAGGCGGGUUGCUGGGCUGAUACUGACGCUGAGGCGCGAAAGCCAGGGGAGGCGAACGGG
rnacentral:rRNA from 1 species